GACGAACGCUGGCGGCGUGCUUAACACAUGCAAGUCGUACGGUAAGGCCCUUUCGGGGGUACACGAGUGGCGAACGGGUGAGUAACACGUGAGUAACCUGCCCACAACUUUGGGAUAACGCUAGGAAACUGGUGCUAAUACUGGAUAUGUGCUCCUGCUGCAUGGUGGGGGUUGGAAAGCUCCGGCGGUUGUGGAUGGACUCGCGGCCUAUCAGCUUGUUGGUGGGGUAGUGGCCUACCAAGGCGGCGACGGGUAGCCGGCCUGAGAGGGUGACCGGCCACAUUGGGACUGAGAUACGGCCCAGACUCCUACGGGAGGCAGCAGUGGGGAAUAUUGCACAAUGGGCGCAAGCCUGAUGCAGCAGCGCCGCGGGCGGGAUGACGGCCUUCGGGUUGAAAACCGCGUUCAGCAGGGACGAAGCUUUUUGUGACGGUACCUGCAGAAGAAGCACCGGCUAACUACGUG
rnacentral:rRNA from 1 species